rnacentral:rRNA from 1 species
GACGAAGGUGGCGAGCGUUAUUCGGAAUUACUGGGCGUAAAGGGCGCGUAGGCGGCCUGUUAAGUCGGACGUGAAAUCCCUCGGCUCAACCGGGGAACUGCGUCUGAUACUGGCGGGCUUGAAUUCGGGAGAGGGAUGUGGAAUUCCAGGUGUAGCGGUGAAAUGCGUAGAUAUCUGGAGGAACACCGGUGGCGAAGGCGGCAUCCUGGACCGACAUUGACGCUGAGGCGCGAAAGCGUGGGGAGCAAACAGG